rnacentral:rRNA from 1 species
AACGUAGGGGACAAGCGUUAUCCGGAUUUAUUGGGCGUAAAGCGCGCGUAGGCGGCUUGGUAAGCUGGACGUGAAAGCUCCUGGCUUAACUGGGAGAGGUCGUUCAGGACUGGCAAGCUAGAGGCUGAAAGAGGAACGUGGAAUUCCCGGUGUAGUGGUGGAAUGCGUAGAUAUCGGGAGGAACACCAGUGGCGAAAGCGGCGUUCUGGUUCAGCCCUGACGUUGAGGCGCGAAAGCGUGGGGAGCGAACGGGAUUAGAAACCCGUGUAGUCC